rnacentral:rRNA from 1 species
AUGCCGCGGGAAACAUCGUGGAUGCCCCAGCGACCGGACGAUGCUCCAUUGCAGCGCCAGACCCUGCCCACCAAGCCGGCGCCCAAGGCCCCGGCUCCGGUACCGGCAUCCGCCGGCGGCCACAACAACGUCAUUUCUGCCCUGGCGUACAACAUCGUCGACGGCAUCACUUGGGGCGCCGGCAACGCCAUGGGCCACAGGUUCGUCGAGUUCUUUGCCGGACCCCGCACCAUCCAGGUCGCCUCCUCCGAGCCCCAGGCAGCCACUCAGGCUGGACGGUCAGGUAGCAAAACUGGUCGGUCCGGGCUGCAAUAUUGGGCCCGAGAAAAUUGCCUAAACCACUCCCAGAGCGACAUCAGCCGGUGCCAGUUCUACCUCGACUUGCUCAACCAGUGCCGCCGCGGCUCCAGCAACGCCGGCCUCGCCGCCGCAACCACCAUCGCUUAG